AGGGGCUUAGGAUAAUAAGACCAAGAGCCUUCAAAGCUCUAAGCGAGAGUGAAAAUCCCUCAGCCCCUG
rnacentral:tRNA from 1 species